AUCCGACCCUCAUGAGAUCACAGUGGUAACACCAAGGAGAGUGGGGGAGAUGGGCACAGGCGCUGUGGCCCGACCCUCAUGAGAUCACAGUGGUAACACCAAGGACAGAGGGGGCGAUGGGCACAGGUGCCAUGAUCCGACCCUCAUGAGAUCACAGUGGUAACACCAAGGACAGAGGGGGAGAUGGGCACAGGCGCUGCGGCCCGACCCUCAUGAGAUCACAGCGGUAACACCAAGGACAGAGGGGGCGAUGGGCACAGGUGCCAUGAUCCGACCCUCAUGAGAUCACAGUGGUAACACCAAGGACAGAGGGGGAGAUGGGCACAGGCACUGCGGCCCGAUCCUCAUGAGAAGUGGCGCAGUGUUACGUGAAGGACGACUAUGUGUGGAUGUGGCUCUGACAGGCUCCUCGUGGAGCAGAGAUAACCAGCUCUCACAAGUCUUCAUCCUCCUGCCGCCGGGACCUUGGGGGGUCAGAACAGAGCAGGAGCUGCGGGAGAUCAAGGUGCCCACUGGUUCCAGAUUUUGUCAUGCCGCAUUCCUUAGAAAAGGCAAGUUUCGGACGAAGGAAAAGGCCACACGUGGACACAAGGUUCUCUGUUUAUCAUGAACGACCGAGAAGACGGGAGCAAGAAUGGUUCUGUGGGUUUGGAAAUCGAUGGUUCUGUUUGUGAAGAAGUAGGAAAAUUGCCUGUUACCCUAAGAAGUCUACGGGCCGUGGUCAGAGCUUUAGGCUCCUGAUUCCCCACUCGGGUUGAGGUCACCGCUCACCUCUGCAGGUGCAGGCAGGAGAGAGGCAGUGAGUGGGUACAACCGGGCUGUGAAUUUGCUGAGGGAGGCAUUAUAAUGACGGCUCACAAAUCCAGGCUGGGACCACAUCAAGGAUUAUGGCGGGAGUGGGGUUGAGAGCUGAGCUAGGUGCUUAAUUACCGAGGAGGGCAAUGUGUGUUCCCUCCCCUUCCCCCCAGACAGCAGGGACAGAGGCGUGAGCCAGCAUCACCCCCUCUUGACACAGAGCUGGUCCCUCAAAGUAAACCUCAGGGGUCAUGACUGAUGAUUGUAGGAAGUGAUGUGCUUGCUCUUCCUCAACGGGAAAGGGGGUCUGAGCCAAGCGGUGGCUCCCAGCAACCACACUGUGACCAUAAGAACAGCCAGCUGCAAAACAAAGACAAGACUGAGAAGACAAAGCCGAGAGAACCACAGGGAAGCAGGACCAGGGACCAGAUCAUGCUGUUCCUGAAACCCGGGGGCCUCUGGUGCCUCCGUUAGAAGAGGAAAUAAGCUCGCGUUGUUGUUUGAGCUGGUUAGAGCUGGAUUUUACAUUUUGUGCGGCCAAAGCCUCCUAACAGAGUUAGAGCCUUGCUACGGAGUCCAACUUGCAUCCCAGGCUCUGGAAACCCUCUAACGCACGAUCCUAUUCAUCUGCACGAGGGCCCUGUGACCUGGGAGUGAUUCAUCUUCCAUUUUGCAGAUGAGGAGACUGGGGCUUAGAGAAGCCAAGAAGCAUGGCGUGGCCCGCAGCCUGGAAUCCCUGGAGCCAGCAUUGGAUGUGGGUCUGCUUGGGCCAGAGUCCUGAUCUAAUUCACGCUCCCUUCCACCUGGUGCUUAGGAGCCAGAGUGGCCAUCCCUGGGGAGAGGAAGUGGAUAAGAUAAGCUGCCGGCAGCCAGGGGUCCAGACUUCCCGGCGGGGCAGGGGAAGGAGACAUCACUGGGAACAAAGCUUUCACCGCUGGCCCGAAUUACCUGGUCCCCCUGACAGCCAAGUGGACGGCGGCUGCCGGGAGCGUCGGUGUGAAGUGUGUGCACGCUGGGGAACAAGACACAUCGGCAGCUUCCACUGAUGGGAAAAUAAUGAGGCCACAUCGCCUGGCUGAAAAAUGUACCUGUCUUCAUUAUUCCGGCAGAAAUGAAUAAAAACUUUCCAUUUGAGGAAUGGAGCCAAUUUCCAGCACGGCGCGUGGGGGGAGGUGGGCGAAGAGAGAGCUUGGUUUGCAACUAUGUGUCUUCUCAGCAUGGCUGCAUGGGAGGCAUCCAUGGAAGAAACAGGCGGUGUUCAGAAGUGAUGUGGGAGAAAUUCAAGGAAAUAUGCCAUUCUGAGUUCAGCCUCCUCUGAACCUCUUCUUAAGUCUCAAAUACUGCAUGAGUGUCAUGUGAUGGCUGUAACCCCAGGAACCGAGCCCGGCUUCCAGUAGGGAAGCAUGACGGGAGGUCAACAGCUGGCCCCUCUAGCUUGCCCCCCGGGAGAGGGCUUGGCUCCCCUUGGCAAGCCGAAGGGGCUUCCACGGAUCCAGGGGCCAAGAAGACUCCUCGUGACCACGCACGUGGGGAGACAGCUCCACACAGAAACCCUACAGAUGUUUUGCAGUCCACCCAGCGGCAAGAAGGUGCAAGUGAAAUUGAGUUUUCCGCAACC
rnacentral:lncRNA from 10 species